rnacentral:sRNA from 1 species
GCCAGGCAUGGUGGCGUACACCUGUAAUCCCAGCAGCUCUGGAGGCUGAGACAGGUGGAUUUCAGGUUCAAAGCCAGCCUCAGCAACGGUGAGGUGCUAAGCAACUCAGUGAGACCCCAUCUCUA